UUAAGCGCCAAACACCUUCUAACAGUUUCUUUUCUCCAAUUCUCCUUUCUCACUACGCUACCUUCAUACACGCUCUCUCUAUCUCUCCAAUCAAUUCAGUGUUGCCAAAAUUAUGAAUCCGUUUCUAUUUCAAAUGAAAAAACCCUAAAUGUUAAGAAUCAUCUACAUUCGUGAAAGUAACUCACCGGAUUUCUCUCUGCCGAUCUAGGGUUUAACAGUGAUUCCAGGUAUGUAUCAAAAAUGUCUAUCUCAGAUUUGAAUUUCGAAAUAUCAAACUUAUGAUGCAUCUUUUUAAGGAUUUUAGGGUUUUUUUUCAUUCAACUAUAUACAUCAUAUUCUCAGUCAAUCAAGGUAUGUGUUUUUGUUGUUUGUGGAUUGAAUGCAUUUACGUGAAGGGAGUUAAAGCCCUAACUUAAUUUCUAUUCUAUUGUUGUAAUUUUUUUUGUUUGUGAAGUCAAAAUUAAGAGGAUAUGAAGAAGAAGCAGGCGCAAUCAGUAGCGGCUAGCCCACAACCAUCGUAGUGGGUAGACAACCAACCUAAAAAUAUCAAAUUGAACAACAAAUCGGUAUCGGGAUCUGCCGUCAGGUGACCUUUAAUUUGAUUUUAAUUUAUCUAAUCGUUUUUUUCUUGAUUUGAUUCCAUUUAGUAAUUGAAAAUCAGCGAUUCGUUUGAAAAAAAAAAUAGGUUUUAGGUUAAAUUUACAUGUAAUAUAUUUUAGUAGUUUUGGGGCUGAUUUAAAUAUGAAUUAAAAAAGCAUAUUUGAUCCGCCAGAUUUAUGUUCUUACUUAUUGACUAAAAACAUCAAUGGAUAAUUGAUGGUGGUGAAACGAACAGUUUCACCAUAUUUAUGUUCUUAAUUCUUAUUUGUUUAGAAGAGCUUAUUACAGAAAAAAUGUCUUUUAUGAGUUAGGCAUGACAAAAGGGUUGAAGAGAGUUGUUCAUUCAAGUUCUUAAUUAAUGGAUACUAAUUCAUGAAUUGCAGGUUUUACGCCUUCUUUCUUUUUAAAUGAAAUUAUUGACGAAUGAAUGAUUUGUCCAGAAUAUAGUCUCUAUUUAUAUGUUUCAAAGCAGGUGUUGACUAUUAUACCAUCAUAUCGAAUCGAGUGCAUUACAAUGGAGGGAAGUUGAUUUGUAUGCAUAAGUCUGAUCCAUAUUGUCACAGUUCAUAAUUAGAACAUAAUUUGUGUGCUCAUUCAGGUUAUCACUAAAUUGUAUUUUUAUUAUUACAGGAGAUUGUUCCGGUCGAUGUGGUAUACGAAACUUUGAAAUGUACAAAAGGGGGAUUGACGACUGAAGAAGGGAGCAGGAGGCUUGCUGCUUUUGGCCCUAACAAGCUAGAGAGAAGCAUGAAAGUAAGCUUCUUAAGUUCUUAGGGUUCAUGUGGAAUAUAUUGUCAUGGGUCAUGGAAGCCUCUGCAAUCAUGUCUAUCGUCUUGGCCAGUGGAGGGGUAUCUCUCUUUCUCAAAUCGAAAAUAAUUUAAAUAUAAGUAAUGGUAUCAUACGGAUCCAAAUAAACUCAUUGCGAAGCAAUUAGAUCUUCGUUUUAGAGUUUACAUGUGUUGAUUUGGUUUUCGUUCGUUAUCACCUAAGGUUUCUUGAUCUUGGAUCUGUUAUAUUUCUGAUAAUCAAAUGUCGUCUACACCAAGGUAUGAUUCUGUUAUUUCUCUAUUGUUCAGAUUUUGAUGCUAAUAUACUUUAGGUGAUGAAUCUGAAUGUAACUGAAGCAUAAGAUGGUUCAGAUCUAAAAAAAAUGGGGUGACCGGAGAAGACGAUGGUCAAAAGGGUUCGUCCAGAUUUGAUUUUCUACGGCGGUUUAGCGUUCGAUUCACCUGAUGACGGAGAACGUUGGUCCUGUGACGGCUAGGGUUCUGCUGCGGACCCGAUAAUGGUGAUGAUCAGAGGUUAUCGGGCGGCUUAAGGCCCACAACCUUGGCGGUGCAAGCGUUCAGCAGCUGCACCAACUAGAGAAACAACUAACUGAUGGCUUAGUUUUAAUCAAAGAAAAGAAGGAUGCUAUGCUGUUUGAGGAGAUUGAACAUUCAAAUCGCAAAGGAACGAGAACUUGCUUAUGAAACCGAUGUACUUCAAGGAGAGAUGGAAAACUUAAAGCGCUUCGUACCGUUGACUCGACAACCUGGUCAACUUGGUUUCCUAGAAUACACUCCUGCUGUUGUUCCAAGUAGCGGUGCUGCCCACUCGAAGCAUGACCGGGUUAGGCCGGAUACCGUAUGCUACUAUGGAUCCGAUAACACCGAUUCAGAAACAGCACUUCAGUUUAGUUAUGCAAAACUGGAAGUGGGUCAAAACUGGCUGCCUUACGGUGACCAUUCGAGAAAGGAGGCAACAGUGUUGCCAAAGAGGGAUACCAAUUCAAGUAGUUGUGAAGUGAUGAGAUGGAACAAUGAUCAUUGGACGUUUUGGGGAUUGAUGGAUUCAUGUUGGAAGCUUUGUCAAGAGCAGGAUUUCUUUCAUUAUCAUUCUGACAUUCAUUUUUGAACCAUAUGAACCAUGUUUGAACAAGGGGAGGACGGUAUUUGUUCCACAUGUUACCUACCAUGAUGCCAUUAAAGGUUUCAAGAAGGUUGGUGUUAUUGGAUUGGGUCCCAGAUUUAUAAUUUCAUUGCUUAAAUUCAUUAGUUUUUGUUUUUCUAUUUAGAUAGUAGACUGAUUUAGUUGAUAACUAAAAACGUUAUGAUCAACUCUUUUCUACCAAUAUAGUGUAUUGGUACAGACACGAUCUGGUUAGAGAUGUGUUGUUUGACGUUCUCAAGCGAGCUGGUAUCGCUGCUAAAAAAGAGGCUCCGGUUAAUUUCCUAACGGACCCGAAGGAGGGGAGGUCUUCCCUUCGACCAGCCGAUGUGCUGGUUUUUGGAUGGUCCGGGGGUAAGCAUGCUUGCAUUGAUCUCACGGGGGUGUCGCCUCUUGCCGGUUUCAGGGGCAGUGGUUUUGUUUCAGGGCAAGCGGCGCAGAAGGCUGAGGCGGGGAAAAUAUCCAAGCACGAGCAGGCCUGCAUAGAUAAUCAACAUGCCUUCCUUCCUUUCGCGUUCGAUACCUUUGGUUGUCUGGCCCCUGUGGCGUCCGGAUUCUUGAAGCGGUUCAAAAGGCAGCACUUGCACAUGCGACAGUGUCUGUAGGCCAUAGUUAUGUGUUUAGCCGAGUAGGAUUUGCAAUUCAAAAGGGGGUGGCGGCGCAGCUUGUUGCCCGUCUACCAACCCAUGAUUUGUAAUUUGCUCUAACCUUCUAAUAAAAAUCUAUUAAUCAAAAAAAAAAAAAAA